GGAUAACAUACCGAAAGGUAUGCUAAUACGGGAUAAUAUAUUUGAGAGGCAUCUCUUAAAUAUCAAAGGUGAGCCAGUACAGGAUGGACCCGCGUCUGAUUAGCUAGUUGGUAAGGUAACGGCUUACCAAGGCGACGAUCAGUAGCCGACCUGAGAGGGUGAUCGGCCACAUUGGAACUGAGACACGGUCCAAACUCCUACGGGAGGCAGCAGUGGGGAAUAUUGCACAAUGGGCGAAAGCCUGAUGCAGCAACGCCGCGUGAGUGAUGAAGGCCUUCGGGUCGUAAAACUCUGUCCUCGAGGAAGAUAAUGACGGUACUUGAGGAGGAAGCCCCGGCUAACUACGUGCCAGCAGCCGCGGUAAUACGUAGGGGGCUAGCGUUAUCCGGAUUUACUGGGCGUAAAGGGUGCGUAGGCGGUCUUUCAAGUCAGGAGUGAAAGGCUACGGCUCAACCGUAGUAAGCUCUUGAAACUGGGAGACUUGAGUGCAAGAGAGGAGAGUGGAAUUCCUAGUGUAGCGGUGAAAUGCGUAGAUAUUAGGAGGAACACCAGUUGCGAAGGCGGCUCUCUGGACUGUAACUGACGCUGAGGCACGAAAGCGUGGGGAGCAAACAGGAUUAGAUACCCUGGUAGUCCACGCUGUAAACGAUGAGUACUAGGUGUCGGGGGUUACCCCCCUCGGUGCCGCAG
rnacentral:rRNA from 1 species